rnacentral:rRNA from 1 species
UCUGGUUGAUCCUGCCAGUAGUCACACGCUUGUCUCAAAGAUUAAGCCAUGCAUGUCUAAGUAUAAGCAAUUUAUACAGCGAAACUGCGAAUGGCUCAUUAAAUCAGUUAUAGUUUAUUUGAUAGUUCUUCUUUACUCGGUUAACCUCGGUAAAUCUGAUGCUACUACGUGCUUACAUCCCCGACUGUUUGGAAGGGGAGUAUUCGUUAGAUAAAAAAUCAAUGCCUUCGGGCUCUUUGAUGAUUCAUAGCGACUUUUCGAAUCGCAGGGCUUCUAGCCGGCGAUGGUUCAUUCAAAUUUCUGCCCUAUCAACUUUCGAAGGUAGGAUAGAGGCCUACCUUGGUGGCAACGGGUAACGGGGAAUCAGGGUUCGAUUCCGGAGAGGGAGCCUGAGAAACGGCUACCACAUCCAAGGAAGGCAGCAGGCGCGCAAAUUACCCAAUCCUAAUACAGGGAGGUAGUGACAAUAAAUAACGAUACAGGGGCCUUAUGGCUCUUGUAAUUGGAAUGAGUACUAUAUAAACCACACACCGAGGAACAAGUGGAGGGCAAGUCUGGUGCCAGCAGCCGCGGUAAUUCCAGCUCCACUAGCGUGUAUUAAAGUUGUUGCAGUUAAAAAGCUCGUAGUUGAACUUCGGGGUGGGUUUUUAGGGGUCCGUUUUACGACGAGUACUUCUGAGCCUGCCCUUCCGGUGGGGGGUUUCCUUCGGGGAAGUUUCCACCAGUCACUUUGAAAAAAUUAGAGUGUUCAAAGCAGGCAAUUUGCUCGAAUAUUUCAGCAUGGAAUGACAGAAUAGGACGUAUGGUUUUAUUUUGUUGGUUUUAAGGACCAAGCGUAAUGAUUAACAGGGACGGUCGGGGGCAUCAGUAUUCAAAUGUCAGAGGUGAAAUUCUUGGAUUCUUUGAAGACUAACUACUGCGAAAGCAUUUGCCAAGGACGUUUUCAUUAAUCAAGAACGAAAGUUAGGGGAUCGAAGAUGAUCAGAUACCGUCGUAGUCUUAACCAUAAACUAUGCCGACUA